rnacentral:rRNA from 1 species
CCUACGGGAGGCAGCAGUGGGGGAUAUUGCACAAUGGGGGGAACCCUGAUGCAGCGACGCCGCGUGUGGGAAGACGGUCCUCUGGAUUGUAAACCACUGUCCCCAGGGACGAAAAUGACGGUACCUGGGGAGGAACCUCCGGCUAACUACGUGCCAGCAGCCGCGGUAAUACGUAGGGAGCGAGCGUUGUUCGGAAUUACUGGGUGUAAAGGGAGCGUAGGCGGGGAUGAAAGUUGGGUGUCAAAACUACCGGCUCAACUGGGAGUCGCACUCAAAACUGCAGCUCUUGAGUGAAGUAGAGGCGGGCGGAAUUCCUAGUGUAGCGGUGAAAUGCGUAGAUAUUAGGAGGAACACCAGUGGCGAAGGCGGCCUGCUGGGCUUUUACUGACGCUGAGGCUCGAAAGUGUGGGGAGCAAACAGGAUUAGAUACCCGGGUAGUC